UGGGGAAUUUUGGACAAUGGGCGCAAGCCUGAUCCAGCAAUGCCGCGUGCAGGAUGAAGGCCUUCGGGUUGUAAACUGCUUUUGUACGGAGCGAAAAGGUCUGCCCUAAUACGGUGGGCUCAUGACGGUACCGUAAGAAUAAGCACCGGCUAACUACGUGCCAGCAGCCGCGGUAAUACGUAGGGUGCGAGCGUUAAUCGGACUUACUGGGCGUAAAGCGUUCGCAGGCGGUUAUAUAAGACAGAUGUGAAAUCCCCGGGCUAAACCUGGGACCUGCAUGUGUGACUGUAUAGCGAGAGGACGGUAGAGGGGGAGGGAAUUCCGCGUGUAGCAGGGAAAUGCGUAGAUAUGCGGAGGAACCCCGAUGGCGAAGGCAAACCCCGGGACCUGUACUGACGUGAAUGCCCGAAAGCGUGGGGAGCAAACA
rnacentral:rRNA from 1 species